AUUUUUAUAGUUUAUUUAAAACUUUGAAUUGUGAUUUCAAUAAUGAUUAAUUCUAAAAAUA
rnacentral:tRNA from 1 species